ACGACCUUACUUGAACGGGAUCUGUUCUAUAGGCUCGUACCUCUGUAUCCUUGAGUUCUAAGGAGACAGGAACCUAAGUCUGGUGGAUGAACCAUGACUGCGUGACCAGAGCGUGAUUAACGGCCUCUUCUGGUCCAUGAUGGACUACAAAGCUGUAGAGGAUCGUUCUCGGCUAGUCUCAUCUGGCUGCGAUGGUCACACAGUUGUCUGACAGACU